UACGUAGGGGGCAAGCGUUGUCCGGAAUCAUUGGGCGUAAAGAGCGUGUAGGCGGUCCUGUAAGUCCGCUGUGAAAGUCAAGGGCUCAACCCUUGAAUGCCGGUGGAUACUGCAGGACUAGAGUCCGGAAGAGGCGAGUGGAAUUCCUGGUGUAGCGGUGAAAUGCGCAGAUAUCAGGAGGAACACCGAUGGCGAAGGCAGCCCCCUGGGUCAAGAUUGACGCUCAUGCACGAAAGCGUGGGAGCAAACAGG
rnacentral:rRNA from 1 species